rnacentral:lncRNA from 1 species
UCCUGCAGCGUUCCGCGACCCUUCUGUGUGCUGGUGUUUCGGUGUGUCUUCUCGGGGACCGAGUCUGCAUCUCCGGGGAGAAGAGGGGCACCGCUGGCGUCGGCCGGUCCUCUCUAGCUGGGCUCUGCUUGAGACGGCGCUGCCCAGGAUUCCUGGACCCGUCUCAGCUGCUUGUGGAGCCCUGGAGAGAGUCUAGCUUCCCACGGGAGUCUGUCAGAGGAACGGUGAUGGCAGAUAGCAGUGUCCUAAAGCCUUAAGUGCUUGCUUCCCAGAGCCCUGCCUUGUCUCAAAGAGAAGAGAACAAUGACCAAGUUACAGAUCACUGGUCACCCUCAUUUCCUGCAUUUGAAAUUCAUAUCCUGAAUAACCAAGGAGCAUCUGGCUACCACCAUCUGCAAACCUUCUGGGGUUGACCUACCUUGGGCAAUGAGGGCAUCAAGAAAGAACAGAUUUUACUAAUGAAGUAUUCUGAAUCUAAAAUUCAUAAUGUUGCACAACAUAAAACAUUUUAAAUGAUGUCAUCAUUCAUGGACUGUCAUUCAGAGCAGUUUGGAUUUGUGACUGAAGAUACACCUGAACUGUACUGCCCAGAAGGAGCAGGGCAUUGUCAGCUCUUUCCAGUACAAAGUCAGUACAUGACUCCCGACAUGGGUUGGAAUCCGUGACUUCCCAUUUAACGGUGGCGGACCUACUGACCCAGCUGUGGAAAUGGCACCAAGUUCCUUGUACCGUGUUUUCUCUUUGCCUCUAUCCCCUCUGUAGCUAUAGAAAGGGGUGAAUAGGUAUACUGGCUGGUGUUACGUGUCAAGUUGACACCAGCGAGAGUCAUCAAAGAGCCUCAGUUGAGGUCCUGGGUUCUAUAAGAAAACAUGCUGAGCAAGCCAGUAUAUAGCACCACUCCAUAGCUUCUGCAUCAGCUCCUUUCUCCAGGUUCCUGCCCCUGCUCGAGUUCCUGUCCUGACUUCCUUCAAUAAUGAACAGGAAUAUGAAAGUGUAAGCCUAAUAAACCCUUUUCUUCCCAACU